rnacentral:rRNA from 1 species
AGUGAACGCUGGCGGUAGGCCUAACACAUGCAAGUCGAACGGCAGCACAGUAAGAGCUUGCUCUUACGGGUGGCGAGUGGCGGACGGGUGAGGAAUACAUCGGAAUCUACUUUUUCGUGGGGGAUAACGUAGGGAAACUUACGCUAAUACCGCAUACGACCUACGGGUGAAAGCAGGGGAUCUUCGGACCUUGCGCGAUUGAAUGAGCCGAUGUCGGAUUAGCUAGUUGGCGGGGUAAAGGCCCACCAAGGCGACAAUCCGUAGCUGGUCUGAGAGGAUGAUCAGCCACACUGGAACUGAGACACGGUCCAGACUCCGACGGGAGGCAGCAGUGGGGAAUACUGGACAAUGGGCGCAAGCCUGAUCCAGCCAUACCGCGUGGGUGAAGAAGGCCUUCGGGUUGUAAAGCCCUUUUGUUGGGAAAGAAAAGCAGCAGGUUAAUACCCCGCUGUUCUGACGGUACCCAAAGAAUAAGCACCGGCUAACUUCGUG